rnacentral:rRNA from 1 species
UACGUAGGGUGCGAGCGUUAAUCGGAAUUACUGGGCGUAAAGCGUGCGCAGGCGGUUUUAUAAGCCAGAUGUGAAAGCCCCGGGCUCAACCUGGGAAUGGCAUUUGGGACUGUAAGGCUGGAGUAUGGCAGAGGGGACUAGAAUUCCUGGUGUAGCAGUGAAAUGCGUAGAUAUCAGGAGGAAUACCGAUGGUGAAGGCAGGUCCCUGGGCCAACACUGACGCUGAGUGAGCGAAAGCGUGGGGAGCGAACAGG